GGCACGGUGGUUUAGUGGUUAGCACGCUCGCCUCGCACCUCUGGGGUUGGGGGUUUGAUUACCGCCCGUAUUU